GUAUUGGAUUGUGUAAGAUGUGAGCUCUCUGCUUCUUAGUCACCCUGUGACUUAACUACCUGUCUUGCCGUCUUCUUGUCCCAGAAUUAAGCAACUUCGGCCCCUCCUUUCCUUCCCUGUGAUAGACUUUGCACUCUCAACCAUGAGCGUCAGUCAGUCAUCCCUCCCUCCCUCCCCUCUCUCCCUUCCCUCCCUCCUUCCUCUCCCCCUACCCCCUACUUCCUCAAGUUGCCUUCUUCUUGUCUAGAAAAAUAAGUAAGAGACUCUUAGGAUGGAAGAAGGAUGAAAACUCAGCCGAGGAAGUUCUUCUUGGGGCUCUGAAUCCUGGGUACUAUUUGGGGAUGCAUUUGCAUUUCUGGAAUCUAUGGGUGUCGAGAUGGUCAGAGAGCUACCAUAUUAGAGCAGAAAAACAUAACAAGGGAAGAGAUGCAACUUAGGGAGAUGACGGAGACAUCUGUCGGCGGACCUGAGUUCCCAGCACCUAAGUCAGGAUGCUCGCGACUUCUGUGAUGCCAGCUCCAAGGGAUCUAACGCCCUCUUCUGGACUCCAGGGAUCCCUGUAGCAUAGAGGAGGGUGAGCGGCAACCUUGGAUACACUCAAACCGCUCGGGAACGGAUGCUCAUCUCACCUGCCAGCCUCCUGCAAUGCCAAGUUGUUCUGCGGCCCAACUGGCGUUGUAACCAAUGAAUUCAAGCCCUGCCAAUCAAACAGCUACCGCAUCAGAAACAGGCUUACCUUUUACCAUGGACCAAUGAUGCUGUCACAUUCCAAGUCCAUCAGGAUGAAUCCAUUCACAUCAGAGCAGCCAUAUUUCACUGGACCUUUGAGACAGCCUCACAGACACCAGCAGCGGGAGCGUGGGCAUGAAGUGUGUUCUCAUGCGCACAGGACCUGGGACUCAGCCGGGAAAGCGGAUGCCAGUGUGACUGUGACAGGCAGAUGAGGCUAUCAGUUGGAAAAGUCAGGUGAUAGAGUCUCGCAGACUCUUACUUCAGGUAGGUGUGGGCACCCCAGAAGACCACUCAGUGUGUGGAAUGCUGCCUUCACACCAGUGUGAAGACAUCGGUUGCCACCUCCACAGUCUUGAGUUGCUCCCCCCCAGAGGGAAUGUUGUGAUGUGUGGGCAGGUGGGUGAAAGAGAACCUGCCAUGGGCCCACAGGCCAAGGGUUAAUUUAUAGCUUGCAACCUUGAUGUUGCCUUGUGUUAGUGACAACCACCACAAUCCCGUGGUUAGCUCCAUUUGGCAGCUUGAUCGUGUGCCACGCGUGAAAGAGAUGCUAUGCUAUGCAGCAGGAAUCGAUCUUGCAGGCUGGCCUCCUGAACUGAAAAGCAGGACAGACCCAUGCGUGAAGUCAGGGGCUCCCUGGGGCAUCUAGUAGGCUGCAGGUAUGAGAUAGAGGAUGAAGAAUGCCCGUAAGGGACAAUCAACAUGGGGUUCAUGGGUUCCUCAUUGGCCUUGGGCAUCUCAACCCAGUCACUUCUACAAGUGUCACGAGAGGAGGAGGGGACUUUACAAAGGUGGAUCCCCCUUCUGCAUUUCAGGGUGUUCCUGUUCUUCUCGGGUGACUUACAUGCUGUUCACCCCCUCUCCUGUGCUAACCCAUCCCUUGUGGUGCCCCAAGGAGAUAAGGACCUCUGUUGGCUCCCUCAUUUCUUUCGUGUUUGUGGCUACUGAGGCACAGAGGUUACCUGGUUGCCAUGGUAACUUGGUGGACAGCUGAUGUCCAAGGUUGCCUUCUCCCGCUGUAAUAAACACCACGACCAAAAGCGACCUGAGGAAGAAAGAGUUUAUUUCGUCCUUCAGUUUACAGCCUCUCAUGAAGGAAGCCAUGACAGAAGCUCAAAGUAGGAGCGGAAGGCAGGGCCAUGAGGGAUGCUGCUUACUGGCUUGCUUUCCCAUGGCAUGUUCUGCCCUGGCUUACAGAUACAGGACAGGCCCACCUGCCUUGGUGUGGCACCGCCCACAGUGGGCGGCGCCCUCCCAUGUCAAUCAUUAACCAAGAAACUGCCCCACAGACUUGCCUACAGGUCAUUCUGAGGGCGACAAUUUCUCAGCUGAGGUUCCCUCUUCCCAGGUACAUCCCCCGGGUUGUUUCACGUUGUUUCAUGUUGAGAAACACCAACCGGAACAGUAGUUGGCUGGUGUUUCAGUGACCUGGCACCCGAGAUGCGCCGCCCUGCCCCUCCCCAUUCCCACCGCGGUUCAUGUCUCCUGAUCUGAACUUUGCUAUCUGCUAAGGAUGAGAGAGUUGUGCAGGGCCAUGCUUCUUUUGUGUAUAUCCUACUGCCGUGCGAGCAUAUGACCUUGCACUGGGUCGCCGGUGCUUGUCUCUCCACCCAGAAUUCUCUCCUCCUCUUGUAACAACCUUUUGAUGUUUCCCGAAGCCAUCUUGUCCAAAUGGGCAUGGGCAAAGUGUGAUUCUUUGCACGGCAGAAGCCAAGGGACUCCUACAGAUAUCUGAAUGGGAAAUGUCCCACAUAGAUUCAAAUAUUUGAACUUAUGGUCCUCAGUCAUUGGCACUUUUAGGCAGUGGAACCUUGCCAAAGGAAGUAUGUCAUUGGGGGCAGGCUUUUAUGGUAUAUAGCCUCACCUCUCUUCCUGUCAUCCCCCCUCCUCCAUCUCCUGCAGCUUCUGAAUUGCUAGGAUAGCCUCUAGCUCCCCCUGCCAUGCCUUCCUGGUGUUACAGAAGUCUGCCAUUUGGAACCAUUAGCCAGGGUGGUCAACCUUUUCUUCCUUAAGUUGCUUUUGCUCAUGGUAUUUUAUCAGAACAAACUCAAAGUAACUAAUAUGUGUCACUUCCGGAACUUUCUCAUUCCAUUGCAGGCCAACAUGGGCAAAGUUGCUACCUGUGAUGGUUUGGAUAUGAAGUGUCCCCCAAAAGACACUUGUUGAGGGUUUAGUCCCCAGGUGGUGGGGGCUGAUCCCCUCUGUCCUCUGCCCUGAGCCUGCUGUGAUUGCUUCGUGAGAGCGAUGACCCAAUCACGAUGCAGUGAACCAGCCUGCUGCACCAUGUCCCCUGAAAUACCCUGCCCCAUGCUGUUCUGUUCUAACCAGGAACCACAUCUCUGAACCUGUGAGUCAAAGCAGGCUUUCCUUUCUUUCUUAAUUCCUGAGGGUUUUGAAAAGUAACACAUUCUCUCAGCACAGGCCGGCCAGCCUCUCAUCAGCACCAGGCAGCACGGUGAACAUGGUCCGAAGACAGUGGUUCCUUCUGGAUGCUCCACGUUAUUUAUUUAUUGGGUUGUUUCCAUUAUUUAUUUAUUUAUUGCGUGUGUGUUGGGGGCACAUGAGGACAUGCAUGGCAUGGCAUACGUGUGGAGGUCAGACGACAACUUGCAGGGGACACUUCUCUCCUUUGGGUCCCAGGAAUGAGGUUCUGGUGGUGAAUCUCGGCAGUAAGUGAUUUUACCUGCUGGGCCAUCUCACAGUCCCAAACAUCUAUCCUGCUUUCUAGCUCAUGUCUCCUGUAACCUCUUCUUCUGGAGUCUUCCUCUUCUGACCCGUAUGCCCUUUUGCCCACUCUGUAUCUCCUUCUUCACCCAAUAUUACCCUCUCUUGGCUCUCUUUUCUACGUUUUUAAGACUUCUCGAACAUUGUUUACCUAUGCACAGGUGUGUAUUGCAGGCUAAGACCUGCGUAUGAGGGAGUGCGUCUGGUUUUUUUUAUCAUCCUGAAUUUGGGCUACCUCACUUGAUGCUUUCCAAAUCUGUCCAUUUUCCUGUGUUCGUUUUCUAUGACGGCUGAAUAAUAUUCCACUGUGUAUGUAGGUAUCACAUCUUCGUGGCUGCUUGUCUGUUGAUGGCCAUCCUGGUUGAUCCCAUCUCCUCGCUGUUCUGAAUAGGGCAACGGUAGCACUGGUUGUCCAAGUGUCUCUGUGGGGACAUAGGGAGUCCUUUGGAUUUAUGCCCAGGAGGGGCCUCGCUGGGUCAUACGGUAGAUCUACUUUUAAUGUCUAGAGGAACCUCCCGGGCCUUACUGUGGCCCCGCCUCUUCUCUUCUAUGUCAGCCUUGCUCUGUUAACAAGCAGGUCUUCCUCUGACUUGGUCCAUUCGUGCUUGUGGCAUGAUGCUGCUCUUCCUCUAUUCAAGUGGUCGAGCCACUUUAAAGGCAGAUGUUGGAGCAUAAACAGAUGAGGUGCUCAUGUGAUCAAGACGUGGAAGGGUAGACCCUGGGCGCAAGCCCCGAGACACUCCACUCAUAGAAAAGUUCCAUGUGCGUGGCUCUUUGGGAACCUUUUUUUUUUGGGGGGGGGAACCCCCUGUGGUUGACUUUCUGACUAUGUGCCAGCCAGAGUCCCUCAACUGAGCAGCUUCAAAUACUUUCCCUUUGGCGGGCUGUACUGAUUAAGAUUAAUGGCCGCACGCAAGUUGCUCUGCUGAAAUAUGAUGAUUCGGCGCUCUCCACACCUCCCUGCUGCCUAAAGAUGGUUUUAAAUUUGGUAGUUUUUAAAUUUGGCAGGCUUUCCUUUCUUUCUUAAUUCCUGAGGGUUUUGAAAAGUAACGCAUUCUCUCAGCGCAGGCCGGUCAGCCUCUCAUCAGCACCAGGCAGCACAGUGAACAUGGUCCGAAGGGCCUGCCAUCAGCCCCUAAGAUGACGUAGCAGCUCUGACCUGAGCAUAAAGGAGAUGAGGGUUGGAGGCCCCUAAAUGUGUCUCCAUCAUCCGUGCCCCUGGAGUCAGGGUAGCAAGAUAGCAUUUCCAAACAAAGGGACUUGUCUGAAUAAGGAGAGUGACACGCGGUUGAAGUCUUGGUGUUCUCUGAGAAGAAAAGGAUGUUUUAAAAAAGGCUAAGCCACAGAAUUUCACUGGAGUGGUUGAUGGAGGUGGCGGUGCUAACAAAGAGCGCGCUGAUUUAAAGGACUAUAUUCUCAGUACAGUUGAUUUUAUCCAGCAAAGCCAAGACACAGCAUUUUCUGGAAAUAGGUCAAAUUCUGCAUGUUUUGUAUACAUAGCAUGCCUCACUAGAGGGCGCUAUUUAGUUGUGUAUUUAACAUUUUCUUUUUUUCCUUUCUUUUUUCUUUCUUUCUUUCUUUCUUUUUUUUUUUUUUUACAAAAAUAAUAAAAAUGACGAUGGCCCAGGC
rnacentral:lncRNA from 1 species